CUGGUCUUGAAUUCACGGGGCUCUUCCUCUACUGCCUCCUGAGUGCUGGUCCCGGCUCACUUCUGUUUCCUGAGGGCUGAGGGCUGAGCCUGGGACCUUUGCCAGCUUGUCAGGGGCUCUCCUGCUGAGCUGUGCCCACAGCCCUUGAAUCUGUUCAGAUUUGUACAGGAAGUGUUUCUGUCCCCCAUUUCCUGAUCCACAGGACACUGUGAAUGAAGGAGACCUUUGCACACUGUGACAUAAGUGUGACAUAAUCCCUGUACAGAAGCAGAGCAGCCAGAGCGAAGGAAGGAUGCUGAGGCUGCUCCAGUGCAUCUGUAGAUUACAGGGCCUCUGUAGAAAGGCCUUCACAUUUAAUUUAUUAUUUCAUGUGUGUUUUGACCAGGCAUGGGUGGUCCCUACAGAGGUCAGUAGAGAUUCCCUGAAAUUAAAGUUAAAUAUGGUUGUGAGCCAUGUUCUGGUGCUGGGAAUUGAAAGAGGACUUGUGUCCUCUGAAAGAGUGUCCAGUGCUCUUGACCACCACGUCUUUUUUCCAGCCCCAAUGGGCAUUUUUUUCUACGUGUGUGUGAUGUGUUCCAGUGUAUAUAAAUGUUGUGUGUGUUGUACAUGUGUGCACAUGUGCAGAUAGAGGAUGACAUCAGGCAUCUUCCUCAGCUACUCUCCACCUUAUAUAUAUUGAGCCAAGAAAUCUCACCCAGAACAGAACAGUCUGAUCGGUGGCUCUUGAUGCCAGUGUGCUCCAGGGAUUCCAUACCUCUUUUCCCAUGCACAAGGAUGACAGGCUGGCUAUACCAUUGCCCAACACCUGUGUGGGUGAUGAGGAUCUGAACUCAGGUCUUCAUAUUUGUGUGGUAUAGCAGUGAGUUUAGCUACAUCACUUUGGCUUCCAUUGGGUUGAAUGAGCACACACACACACACACACACACACACACACACACACACACACACACACACACACACCAGUUAAUUUUAAAAUGCCUUGGCUACCUCAAAGGCUGGGCACUCCUAAACCUUCCCCUGUUACUUCAGGCCUAAUUGUGGAAGUGGCCAGAGGCCACCCACCCAAAUUCUCACAUGGCUGGUUGGCUUUCUCUCCUGCAGCUCCUAUGUCCCAUCCUUCUCCCCCAAGUCAUGUUGGUUCUCUGUCUCUCCUUCUCUCUCCUGUAUCCUAGCCCAUUCAAAUCUCCCUUUGCCUAGCAAUUAGCAGCUGACAUCUUUAUUGAUUGAUCAAAAACCAAUUGGGGACAAGGACCUUCAGCAUUUGGACAAGCAGAUUCCCGAUUAAAUCAAAGCAUUAGAACCAAUUCUCAACAGUGUGGCAAUCACUGAGCCCAGGACUGAGGGAAAGGGACACUGGAGCUGUCAGAGUACUUGCCUAGCCUGCAUGAUGGCAUGGGUGCAACCCUGGCACUGCAUAAAACAAGUGACAUGGUACAUACGUGCCACCCCAUCACUUUGGAUGUGGAAGCAGGAAGAUCAGGAGAUCAAAGUCAGCCUGAGCAGCAAAACAAAUUGGAGGCCAGCCUGGGACACACAAGAAGAGGGCAUCA